rnacentral:rRNA from 1 species
UGCACGACUCUCGGCAAAGGAUAUCUCGGCCCUCGCCACGAUGAAGAACGUAGCGAAAUGCGAUACUUAGUGUGAAUUGCAGAAUCUCGUGAGUCAUCCAGUCUUUGAAUGCAAGUUGUGCUCGAGGCUUCGAAUGAGGGCAUGUUUGCCUGGGUGUCGCACA